rnacentral:rRNA from 1 species
AUGGCCGUCGCCACCGCGCUCUGUCGGGCCCUCGCCCUAGCACCGGCGCUGCUCCUCCGCCGCCAGACCCUCGUGCGCCUCCUCUCCACGCAGGCCCAGUCCUCCACGGCCCCCACCAUCAGCCCCGCCGAGCUCGUCCGCAUCAAGGACUCCAUCCGCAGUGCCGCCACGCCGCCCGACGAGCUCGCCGCCCUCUUCCUGAAAGGCAUCCCGCAUCCGCCCUUCCUCGGCGACCGCUCCAUCUUCUCCCUCGCCGCCGCCCGCCCCGACCUCGUCUGCUCCGUGCUCUCCGCCUUCCUCACCGCCCUCCCGGCGCCGCACCCCUCCGAGGGCUUCCUCAUCGCGCUCUACGCCGCCGGCGGCAUGCCCACACACUCCCUCUCCACCUUCCGCCUCGUCGUGGCCCCUCCGACCGUGCCCCCUCCGCCCUCCUCGCCGCCUACUACGACGCCGGCUAGCCCGCCCGAUCCAUCUAGGCCUUCCGCGACCUCCCAGUCGAGCUCUCCAUCACGCUGGGCGUCGUGUCCCACAACGUGCUCCUCAAGUGCAUGGUCGCCAUGGGGGACGUCGCCGGCGCCCGCCAGGUGUUCGACCGAAUGCCUAUCCGUUCGUUCCUCAUCGAUUCUUAUAUUGGUUGUUGCGAAAUUGCUAUGA